rnacentral:rRNA from 1 species
CCUACGGGGGGCUGCAGUAAGGAAUAUUGGUCAAUGGACGAAAGUCUGAACCAGCCAUGCCGCGUGGAGGAUGAAGGUCCUCUGGAUUGUAAACUUCUUUUAUUUGGGACGAAAAAGGGGAAUUUUUUCCCACUUGACGGUACCAGAUGAAUAAGCACCGGCUAACUCCGUGCCAGCAGCCGCGGUAAUACGGAGGGUGCAAGCGUUAUCCGGAUUCACUGGGUUUAAAGGGUGCGUAGGCGGAUAGGUAAGUCCGUGGUGAAAUCCUGCAGCUUAACUGCAGAACUGCCGUGGAUACUAUCUAUCUUGAAUAUCGUGGAGGUUAGCGGAAUAUGUCAUGUAGCGGUGAAAUGCUUAGAUAUGACAUAGAACACCAAUUGCGAAGGCAGCUCGCUACACGAAUAUUGACUCUGAGGCACGAAAGCGUGGGGAUCAAACAG